AUUGAACGCUGGCGGCAGGCCUAACACAUGCAAGUCGAGCGGAUGAAGGGAGCUUGCUCCUGGAUUCAGCGGCGGACGGGUGAGUAAUGCCUAGGAAUCUGCCUGGUAGUGGGGGAUAACGUCCGGAAACGGGCGCUAAUACCGCAUACGUCCUGAGGGAGAAAGUGGGGGAUCUUCGGACCUCACGCUAUCAGGUGAGCCUAGGUCGGAUUAGCUAGUUGGUGGGGUAAAGGCCUACCAAGGCGACGAUCCGUAACUGGUCUGAGAGGAUGAUCAGUCACACUGGAACUGAGACACGGUCCAGAGUCCUACGGGAGGCAGCAGUGGGGAAUAUUGGACAAUGGGCGAAAGCCUGAUCCAGCCAUGCCGCGUGUGUGAAGAAGGUCUUCGGAUUGUAAAGCACUUUAAGUUGGGAGGAAGGGCAGUAAGUUAAUACCUUGCUGUUUUGACGUUACCAACAGAAUAAGCACCGGCUAACUUCGUG
rnacentral:rRNA from 1 species